rnacentral:rRNA from 1 species
UACGUGGGUGGCGAGCGUUGUCCGGAUUUAUUGGGCGUAAAGCGCGCGCAGGCGGUGAGGUAAGUCCGUCGUGAAAUCUCCCGGCUCAACUGGGAGGGUGCGGGGGAGACUGCCUGACUGGAGGCACUCAGAGGCCGGUGGAAUUCCCGGUGGAGUGGUGAAAUGCGUAGAGAUCGGGAGGAACACCAGUGGCGAAGGCGGCCGGCUGGGGGUGACCUGACGCUGAGGCGCGAAAGCGUGGGGAGCGAACCGG